rnacentral:rRNA from 1 species
UCGGAGUGCUUGCACUCUGUGAAACAAGAUACAGGCUAGCGGCGGACGGGUGAGUAACACGUGGGUAACCUGCCCAAGAGAUCGGGAUAACACCUGGAAACAGAUGCUAAUACCGGAUAACAACAGAUGAUGCCUAUCAACUGUUUAAAAGAUGGUUCUGCUAUCACUCUUGGAUGGACCUGCGGUGCAUUAGCUAGUUGGUAGGGUAACGGCCUACCAAGGCGAUGAUGCAUAGCCGAGUUGAGAGACUGAUCGGCCACAUUGGGACUGAGACACGGCCCAAACUCCUACGGGAGGCAGCAGUAGGGAAUCUUCCACAAUGGACGCAAGUCUGAUGGAGCAACGCCGCGUGAGUGAAGAAGGGUUUCGGCUAGUAAAGCUCUGUUGUUGGUGAAGAAGGACAGGGGUAGUAACUGACCUUUGUUUGACGGUAAUCAAUUAGAAAGUCACGGCUAACUACGUGCCAGCAGCCGCGGUAAUACGUAGGUGGCAAGCGUUGUCCGGAUUUAUUGGGCGUAAAGCGAGUGCAGGCGGUUCGAUAAGUCUGAUGUGAAAGCCUUCGGCUCAACCGGAGAAUUGCAUCAGAAACUGUCGAGCUUGAGUACAGAAGAGGAGAGUGGAACUCCAUGUGUAGCGGUGAAAUGCGUAGAUAUAUGGAAGAACACCGGUGGCGAAGGCGGCUCUCUGGUCUGUUACUGACGCUGAGGCUCGAAAGCAUGGGUAGCGAACAGGAUUAGAUACCCUGGUAGUCCAUGCCGUANACGAUGAGUGCUAAGUGUUGGGAGGUUUCCGCCUCUCAGUGCUGCAGCUAACG